rnacentral:rRNA from 1 species
UACAGAGGUGCCAAGCGUUAGGCGGAAUCACUGGGCUUAAAGCGCGUGUAGGUGGGUCGUUAAGUGUCCGCGUGAAAUCCCACGGCUCAGCCGUGGAACUGCCGGGCAUACUGGCGAUCUUGAGGCAUUCAGGGGCGAGCGGAACAAAUGGUGGAGCGGUGAAAUGCGUAGAUAUCAUUUGGAACGCCAAUGGUGAAAACAGCUCGCUGGGAAAGAUCUGACACUGAGACGCGAAAGCCAGGGGAGCGAACGGG